GACGAACGCUGGCGGCGUGCUUAACACAUGCAAGUCGAACGGAAAGGCCCUGCUUUUGUGGGGUGCUCGAGUGGCGAACGGGUGAGUAACACGUGAGUAACCUGCCCUUGACUUUGGGAUAACUUCAGGAAACUGGGGCUAAUACCGGAUAGGAGCUCCUGCUGCAUGGUGGGGGUUGGAAAGUUUCGGCGGUUGGGGAUGGACUCGCGGCUUAUCAGCUUGUUGGGGGGGUAGUGGCUUACCAAGGCUUUGACGGGUGGCCGGCCUGGGAGGGUGACCGGCCACAUUGGGACUGAGAUACGGCCAGGACUCCAACGGGAGGCAGCGGGGGGGAAUAUGGAACAAGGGGCGGAGGCCUGAGGCAGAACCGCCGCGUGCGGGAUGACGGCCUUCGGGUUGUAAACCGCUUUAGCCUGUGACGAAGCGUGAGUGACGGUAAUGGGUAAAGAAGCACCGGCUAACUACGUG
rnacentral:rRNA from 1 species